CUGUCUUCGGGAAAGAGAAAACUUUCCCUCUGAUCGCGGGGCCGCCGGGCCCCGUCCUCCACAGAGGGCUUCUGCUGCAGAGCGGCACCAUCUGCUGGGAGCAGCCGGUAGGGCGGGCAGCGGGUACGGGGAGCAUCUUCAAGAAGGGGCGUUGUUAACCUGAUUAGCCAGAGACUGAUGUUUAUAGGUGCCUCUCGCUGGAAUCUUUCCGCAAAGCUGCAAAAUUACGGGGUCGGAAAUUGAAGCUUCACAACAGUGCUUCAAAGUACAUGGAGAACUAUUGAAGUUGAGAGAAAAAGCUUGGGCAGCUGUGGAGAAGACCUGGCUAUGUGCAUUCAGUCCUAAAGAGAGAAAUGCAAAUUCUCAGUAUCCAAAAGCAGAAAAUUACUGAAGCCCUUAUUUUUUUCCCCCUAUCUCUGCGAUCUGUGCUAACAGCAAUGAAGAUUUCUGGACUAUUCUCCUAUACCUAAACUUGUAUUCUCUUUAGGCUUUGAGCCAGCUGUUUGAAGAUUUUAGAUGACCGACCUUGUGAGCUAAGAUCCCAGUGCUAUUGCUAUUUCACUUGUGCAGUCAUGUACCUUUCACUUAGCUCCUUCCUCACUGAUGUGGAAAUCGAUCCCAGACCUAAAUGAAAACUGUGUGCUUCCUUUAUUGUCUUAUCCUUUGAAUAUACUUUAUUAAAGUUAUUAAAAAAAUAGAAUCCCUUGUACUGUACCAGUGAGAGGCAGUUUUAGGGUGUGCUUUUAGUAUUCAGUCUUGGGGAAGUCUUUAUAUAGUCUUU